rnacentral:piRNA from 1 species
UCAUGAAGGUGUCCUGAAGCAUAUGU